UACAGAAUUAAAAAGAAAAAUUAUUAAUCUACGAAACAUAACCCCAGCGUCGAGUGGAGCCUUCAUCUUCUUCUCUUCUCUCCGCCGCAACCAACGACUGCCAUCCACCUUCUUUCUUCUUCUUCUUCUCUCCACUGCACAGCCUCACCGCCGCACUCCCGAUCCGCCGAACAGUAGCACGCCCCACACCCGCGCCACCGGACAGCCGCAACGUCACACCGUCGCACCAUCGCACCGCCUCCACUGUAGCAAAUGUUUAGGGUUUAUGAGAUGAAUGGUUUGUUUGAAGGAUCCCAAACAGCCACUGGGAGCUAGAAUCAAGGAUUUAGGGAGGGGGGGGGGGGGGGGGAGUUGAAAUCGAGCGCUGUUUAGUUGAGGAUUUUAAGAAGAACAAUUGAAAAAUAUGAAAUUAUUGGUUCAUUUUCGCUGUAUUUGAUUUGUAUGAACUUUUUCUUUUUGCCCAUUCCACUUGACAUAAAAGUGUGGAUUUAGAUUUCCUGAUUACCAGUAGUAAAUUGUAGUGUGGUUACAUCAUAGGGAUUUCAGGUGAGGAAGAAUGACAGGCAGACAGCUGGUGGUGAUUCAGCCUCCUAAACUCAAGUUCACUUUUGAGGUGAUGAAACAAAGCUCAUUUGUUGUUCACUUGACCAACAUUACAGAUCAAUAUGUAGCUUUUAAGGUGAAGACAACAUCACCUAAGAAAAUACUGUGUGCGACACAAUAUAGGCAUCAUCAAGCCAAAAGCAACACUUGAUUUCAGAGGUGACUUCAAGGAAGGAGCAGCCCCAAUACUAGGGUGAUCAUUCAAAGCCCUAUGCAUUUAUUCCAGUUUCAGAAAUUGCUGAAGCAUUUAGAACUUCCAGAUAUGGUCAGGCCUUGGAGUCCUCUCUUUCUGCUCCUUAUGAAAGAACCAACACCCAUCCUUUCUGUGUAAUAAAUUUGUUUUUUGAAUAGAUAGGUUUAAUUAGUUGUUAUUAGUUUUGUAAAAUUUUGUGUGAUUUGUAAAAUUUUGUGUGAAUUUGGAAGAUUCUGUACAUGUUUUAUUUUGAAGAUGAUACUUUUGCAAAUGUACAAGAUUUUGU